CUACUUACCUGGCAGAGGAGAUACCAUGAUCACGAAGGUGGUUUCCCAGGGCAAGGUUUACCCAUUGCUUUCCAGAUAUGCUGACCCCUGCAAUUUCCCCAAAUGUGGGAAACUUGACUGCUAAAAA
rnacentral:snRNA from 12 species